rnacentral:tRNA from 4 species
GGGGCUGUAGCGCAGCUGGUAGCGCACUUGCAUGGCAUGCAAGGGGUCAGGGGUUCGACUCCCCUCAGCUCCA